GUCCUGGAGCAGCGGGAGGGGGGGCGCCCCCCGAGGUACCGGGCUCACGAUAUUGCUCCCGCGGGGUCCGAGCUGCGGCCUCGCUCCCCGCCGCCCGAGCGCUCAGCUCCGGGCUCCUCACCGGUCCUCCACCUGCACUAAGCUGCCGGGCGGAUGACCCCUGCGUCCUAUCGCCCAAGUCAAAGAAAAGGCACAGCCUUCCUGGGACACGCACACUGGUACCCGGCGACUAUACUGUGGCCCCUCUCUAGGUGCGCGACUACGGCGGACCCUGCCUCCCUGCGUUUGCACACGUCCGCAGGGGUGCACGAGGACGGCGGGGGGAGCGGGUCCGCGGGGGUGCACGAGGACGGCGCGGGGAGCCCUUCUAACCACGGAAGAAGAAAAAAUUCCGAAUUUGGAGCCUGCACGCUGCGAUGGAAAUUGAGAGAUUUCUCUCUUAGCCAUGUGCACUGGAUACAGAGACAAGGCAGCUGUCUACAAGCCAGUAAGAAGGGCUUGUCCAACACCAAAGCUGUUGGCACCUGGACCUUCCACUUCCCAGUCUCCAGAGCCGUGAGCAACACAUUAUUGGCUUACGCCACAAUGGUAUUUUUGUUACAGCAGCCUGACCCAAGACUAGCAGUUCCAGGUUUCCAGCAAAACUGGAUAAGGAAACACAGAUUCCUAUCUAUGUGCGUCUUUCCCACCACAAGCCUCCUUGUCAUCAACAUCCUGUGCUAGUGAGAUACGUUUGUACAUCAUUGUCAACUCAAGUCCAUAACUAACAUUAGGGCUUACUCUUUGUAUUAUGCACUUUAUGUAUAACACGUAUAAGUUAUGUGCACGGUAUAAUGCACAACUGUAUAAUGACUUCGAUAUCCACCACUACACUCUAGAGCCAUACACAAUAGUCUCACUGCUCUACAAAUUGAGUUUUGCCAGUGCAUCUCUCCCUCCCUUUAACCACUCGCAACCACUGAUCAUUUUACUGUCUCCAUCAUUUUGCGUUUUCCAGAAUAUCAUAGAGUUGGAAUCGUACAGCAUGUAGCCUUCUCAGGCGGGCUUUCUUCACUUCGUAAUACACAUUAAAAGUCUCUCCAUAUCAUUUCAUUGCUUGAUGUCUCAUUUCAUCUUAAUGCUGAAUAAAUAUUCCAUUUGCAUCA
rnacentral:lncRNA from 1 species